AUGCGGAAGAAGGCGAAGGCCGUGCCGGAGUGGCUGAACAGCCCGCUCUGGUCGACCCCGCCGCUCGCCUCGACCCCCGCCGACCCCUUCGGCACCGACUUCUCCCCGCCGCCUGCCCCGUCCCCCAAGCCGUCUCCUUCCGUUCCGCCGCCGCCGAUGCGCGAGCAGGCGGUCGAUUCCUAUGCUGGCCGCGGGGGAGAGAUACGAGAAGAGGACGGCGCUGGCGCUGCUCUCCGGGCGCACUUGCUUGCCGACUUCAAGGCCGCGCUGUCUAAGAAGGUGGUGAACAUGGGGGAGCUGCGGAGACUCGCCUGCCUUGGCGUGCCAGAUGGCGGCGGCACGGACGUACGACCGCUCGUGUGGAAGCUUCUUUUGGGGUAUUUGCCAACUGAACGCUCUUUAUGGCCUUAUGAACUAGAAAAGAAGCGAAGUCAGUACAGUGCAUAUAAAGAUGAGUUUCUUCUAAAUCCUUCAGAAAAAUUACGUAGAAUCGAGGAAUCAAAGCUGUCAAGAAAGAAAGAAUUAACUGGUGAAAGGAAUGGCUUGCUCCCAAGGUCAGAAGUAACUAAUGAAGAGCAUCCUUUGAGCUUUGGUAAAUCUAGCUUGUGGAAUCAAUACUUCCAGGAAUCAGAGAUCCUGGAGCAGAUAGACCGAGAUGUGAAGCGAACACAUCCAGACAAGUCAUUUUUUUCUGCCAAGUCUAACCAGGAAUCACUAAGGCGUAUUCUCAUUAUAUUUUCAAGAUUAUACCCUAGUGUAAGAUAUGUGCAAGGGUUGAAUGAAGUUUUGGCACCUCUAUUUUACGUAUUGAAGAACGACCUUGACACAAGUAACUCGACUUCAGCUGAAGCAGACACUUUCUUUUGCUUUGUUGAAUUGAUUAGUGGCUUUAAAAACAACUAUUGUAAACAUCUUGACAACAGCCGGGUGGGUAUUCGGUCUAUACUUUCAAAGUUGUCUCAACUCUUAAAGAAACAUGACGAAGAGCUAUGGCGUCAUAUGGAGGUCAUUACAAAGGUGUACCCGCAAUACUAUGCAUUUAGAUGGAUUACAUUACUGUUGACAAUGGAGUUCAGCUUCAAUGUGUGUAUUCACAUCUGGGAUGCCAUGUUGGGCGAUCCCGAAGGUCCUCCGGACACGUUGCUGAGGAUAUGCUGUGCUAUGCUCAUCCUUGUCCGGAAGCGGCUCCUGGUUGGAGAUUUCACCGCCAAUAUCCAGCUGCUGCAGCACUACCCGCAAACUAACAUAGAUCACCUCCUCCACAUCGCUAACAGAUUGAGAGGAACCAUGCCCAGCUAG
rnacentral:rRNA from 1 species